AAUUUUAAAAUAACAAGAUAAUUUGUUUUUUUAUUAGGCUAAUAUUAGUUAGAAGAUUUUAUUUUUAUUUUUUAUGAAAAUAGUAGUGAUAAAAAGUUUAUUGUUAGUUUAAUCUUUUAAUUUAGUAUUAGUAUAAUAAUAGUUAAUAGCGUGCCAGCAUCUGCGGUUAUACGAUUAUUAAAAAAAAAAUAUUUAUAUAUAAGUUUUAUGUAUAAAAAAAUUUUAAAGUAAAAUUUUAAUUUAUUUGUUUAUUAGCUUUAUUAUUAGUAAAGAAAACAAGGAUUAGAUACCCUUUUAUAGAAAAAUUAAGUAGUAUUAGAAUUUCUUUAAACUUAAGAAAUUUGGCGGUUUUUUAUCUAAUUAGAGGAUUUUAUUUUGUAAUAGAUAUUGCACAUUUAUUUUUUAUCCUAUUUUUUAAAUUUAUAUACCGUUGUUUAAUUAAUUUAAUUGUUAAUAAAAAUAUUAUUUUAAAUUUUAGAUUAAGGUGUAAUUUAUAUUUUGGUAAAAAGAAAUACUUUAUUAUUUAUUUAGAUUAAUAUGUUAUUUUAUUAUAAAUUAGGAUUUAAUAGUAAUAUUAAUUAUUAAAGAUUUAAUAUGAUUUAGCUAUAAAAAAUGUACAUAUUGCCCGUCACUCUUUGUAAAAGAUAAGUCGUAACAAAGUUAAUAUACUGGAAAGUAUAUUUUGUUAUAAUAUAAGCUUUAUAUAA
rnacentral:ncRNA from 1 species